AUGAGCGUCGCCGGCUCAACCGAUGCCGCCGGCACGCGGACGGUGUGCAUGGCGCUCAAGAUCCCGGCGACGACGGCCAGCGGGGACCGGAGCCAAGCCUACAUCACGGCCAGGAGGUUCGCCGUGCUCGGCUACGAGUGGCAGAUCGACUACCACCCCAACAGCCGCUACCCCUACCACCACAGUAAAAGCUGGGUGAAGCUCCGCAUCAGCCUCGUUCGCACUCCCUCGCCGGACGCCGGCGCCGUCACGGCCUCCUUCACCUUCUGCCUGGUCGAUCCCAGCCGCACGCUCAGGCCCUUCCGGGAGGUGGCGGCCAAUUGCCCUCGGUUCCGGCAAGGGACAUCCCAGGAGGUCCUGCUCGUGUCCCGGGCCGCGCUGGAGGCGUCGGGCUACCUCGCCCGCGACGGCAACUGCUUCCUGCAGUGCAAGGCCGUGCUCUCCCGCGAGACGUACACGUACGGCGGCGACGGAGCCGAGACCGCCAUCCAUCCCCGUGACCUGGGCCAUGACCUCGGCGACCUCCUGAGGAGCCAGAGCGGCGCGGACGUCACCUUCGUCGCCGGCUCGGAGUCCUUCCGCGCGAACAGGUGCGUGCUCGCCGCGCGGUCGCCGGUCUUCGCGUCCGAGUUCGCUGGAAGCCUGAUGGAGGAGACCCACGAGGUAAAGGACACCGACGCGGACGCCUUCCGGGCCCUGCUCCGCUUCAUCUACACGGACGCGCUGCCGCCACAGCUGGAGAAGAUGGGCCGCUGGCCGGACACCGGGAAGGAUGGCCAGGAGGCGGUGUCGAUGGCGCGGCGUCUGCGAGGAGAAGGUGUGCGCCAGCGUUGGCGUGGGCACCGUCGCGACGGAUCUGGUCCUGGCGGAGCGGCGUGGUUACAAGAAGCUCAAGGACAGGUGCAUGGAGUUCCUGGUGGCCAGCCCGGCGGACAUGCUCGAGGGGUGCAAGCUUCUCGAGGCGACCUGCCCCUCGGUUUUGACUGA
rnacentral:rRNA from 1 species